AGGACAACCGGAUGUAGAUGCUUCAGAAGAAGAGUCCCUUUACAACAGAAGGGUUUAUAUGCUUUCAACGGACGGUGGACAAGAUCAGGGGAUCAGACGAAGAAGAGCAGGCGAAGGAAUAUAUGGAAUUUAUCCAAACCAUUUUGCAGGUAGUUCUGCUGCUGCAGCCGCACAGAGCGCAGGUUUUCCAGGCUUUUUAGGUCAUCCAGGCUAUGCACCU